CAGAUCCAGGAAGCACAGGAAGAGAGAGAAUUUAAGCCAUACAAGUAAACAAAAUUUGUAUCAGCUGCUCAUCUAUGAUAUGUUUUAUGCUAACCAGAAAAUCUUAUUUUAGACCAAAUCAGAAGUACAAUGCUGCACUUUCAUCAAGUGAUGAAGAUGAUGACAGACUGCCAGCAGCCCUGCAACCUCCAAGAUUUUAAUUUAAACAAAAAAUAAAAGUAAGAUGUCUUGUCAGUUUUAACUGUUAAGCACUAAAUGGUUAACAUGUGAUAUUUUUAAUUUAUAUUUUUUAAGCUGGAUGGUCCAUACUAUCAUUAUGAUUGAUGCAGCUAUUCUCAGGACAAACAUGGAAAGAUACAAUAAUGGUGUCAUCACUAUGGAAAUGCGAUGUAUGCUUUCAGCAGUUUCUCACCUGUUUGGCCAUAGGCAUGGCACUACACAUACUGAAGCAUCCAAACAAAUGUACAGCCCCACAGACAGGACAGCCUCUUUAAACAUGCAGGUCUAAGUUGUGCUUUAUUCACCACAUCAGCAAGAACAGCAGUUCAUCUGAAAUGUACUUCUACAAUGACACAUACAAGAUUG